ACUAUGGAGAGUUUGAUCCUGGCUCAGGAUGAACGCUAGCGGGAGGCUUAAUACAUGCAAGUUGAGCGGUAAGCUGUUUGUAGCAAUACAGACGGCCUAGAGCGGCGCACGGGUGAGUA
rnacentral:rRNA from 1 species